rnacentral:rRNA from 1 species
UACGUAGGUGGCAAGCGUUGUCCGGAUUUACUGGGUGUAAAGGGCGUGUAGCCGGGCUGACAAGUCAGAUGUGAAAUCCGGGGGCUCAACCCCCGAACUGCAUUUGAAACUGUUGGUCUUGAGUAUCGGAGAGGCAGGCGGAAUUCCUAGUGUAGCGGUGAAAUGCGUAGAUAUUAGGAGGAACACCAGUGGCGAAGGCGGCCUGCUGGACGACAACCGACGGUGAGGCGCGAAAGCGUGGGGAGCAAACAGG